AUGUGCAGAAGGGAGUCCCCAGGCGGGUGUGGAGCUGGAGAAAGGUGUGGGUGUUCCUGGGGCUGUUUAGUCUCACACACCAGGCUCAAACAGGGGCAUCUCCCAUAGGGCCCCAGGGACUGGCACCUGUCAGGGGACGGGCCUGAGCUGAGCCUGUAGUUGGCUUGUUUGUUUCAACUUCCUGAUAGAACUGAUGGAAUUUACUCUCAUCCCCUCCUUCCAGCCCAUUUUAUGCCUUAGGACCCACUUCUCCUGAAGUCUACGGUUAGAUCUGCAGAGCCUUACCAACCUUGGUGAGUCUGGACACUUGAACCUCCCCAGGCCUGCCCAACUCCCUGCAUCAGAUGAUGUAAAACCCUCUUCUGAAUGGUCCCGGGCUUCUGGAGAGUUCUCUUAUAUGUUCACCAUAUGUCUCUAUCCUCCAGAGAUGAGGGUGGGUUUUGUUUGUUUGUUUGUUUGUUUUUAAAUAUUUUUACCCAAAGAAGCUCCAGGAUCCUUGAGGUCAGUGGUAUCUUGCCCCUGAGGCGCUGGGUCACAGUAGGCACAUAAUACAGGCACUCUAAAAAAUUAAUCUGAUUUAAUACAAAAGGUUCAGGAGAGUGGGAUUCAGCAGAAUUCAAGAAAUCCAGAGGUUAGUGCAAAACAGUCAUGGUUCUAUGAAAUCUAUUCACUCUUUCGCUUAUUCUAUUUAUUCCCAUAGGAGAGGUGAAGGUCAUUAAAAACUCGGCUAAUUGGUUAUGUGAUGGUCAAAGUAACAUGUAUAAACAAACAUGCCCAAAACACACAUGCCCAAAGGCACACCACUAAUACAUCCACACCAAAAAACACACGUGCCUACAAAUAGCCAACACCAAUAUUGGUUUAAUCUCUAUCAUACAAAACUUCUUGUUGGCAAAAUAGAGCAAAGAGGAGGACUCCUUCUGUAGUUGUCCCUCAUUACAAAGUUCUAGACGCAGAUCUGGAGAGCUGGCGCAGUGGCUAAGAGCAAUUGCUGCUCUAGUGGAGGAAACCAAUUCAGCUCCCAGAUCCCACAUCAGGCUGCCCACGCCCUUCUGCAACUCCUGUUGCAGAGGAUGGAAUGCCCUCCUCUGGCUUCCUCAGGUACUGAAUGCAUGGAGUGCAAACACAUCUGUGUAGGCAAAACACUCAUACGCG
rnacentral:lncRNA from 1 species